UACGUGGGGGGCGAGCGUUGUCCGGAUUUAUUGGGCGUAAAGAGCUCGUAGGCGGUUCGGUAAGUCGAAUGUGAUAUCUCCACGCUCAACGUGGAGGGGUCAUUCGAAACUGCCGUGACUUGAGUACGGUAGGGGAGUGUGGAAUUCCCGGUGUAGCGGUGAAAUGCGCAGAGAUCGGGAGGAACACCCGUAGCGAAGGCGGCACUCUGGGCCGAUACUGACGCUGAGGAGCGAAAGCGUGGGGAGCAAACAGG
rnacentral:rRNA from 1 species